AUAGUCACAUUUCUUCCCUGCUGUAGAAACCUCUAUUUUUAGUUGUUCAGGGAGAUGGAUUUGAAACUGAUCUUCCAUUUCCUUGGCUGCAGCACUCGAUGAAAGCCUUCUUCUUUGGCAAUACUCAUUGUGUCAGUCAUUGGCUUUCUGUGUCAGGGAACAGCAGGACCUAGAUCGAACCCCUGGCAUUUCAGGCACACUCUUGCCUCAGUCUCAGAGGUGGUCUCCUGCAUGCUGUAUCUCUGCAGAGUGAUUUUUGUCUCUCAUCUGACCCACCAUAGUUCUUUUCUUUCUUCAACAAACAGUUAUUGAACUCCUAUUUACCAAGUGCAUUCCUAGAAAAUAAACAAGACAAUGGAAGCUUCAGGGAUCUCAGAGUUUUAAGAGGACUCAGAAGCUGUAGGAAUAUUCAGGCACAGACACCAGACCCAGCUUCAUCUCUAACUUGUGGCAAAGGACAGUACAUCCUGGGAUGGGACCCUAUGCUCCCCUAUGCCAUUUAGACAGAGCCUGGGGAGAGUGACUUCCCAGGGUAUCCAUGUUGGAAUCUCUCAUUUGAUUCUUAUUCAAAUUUAGGUUCUGUCAAUAGAAGAUACUAAAGAAAGAAAGCCAGGAGAAGAAAAGGGACUUCUUUCUUCAAGGUCUAAGCUGUUCUAAUAGCAUUAUUCUGGGAAUGGCAUCUUCCACUCCUCCUAGUACAAAGAACCUGCUUCCUCAUACCCCGUCAAGGAACUGCAGCAUCCAGGUGAUGGCCACAGUGGCAGAACCUAGGAAGCCAAGAAGAAACCAGAGAAUGGAGACACAUGGCAGCAAUGGCAAGUCAUCAGACCCAGGAUUUCCCAAAGAACACUGGUCCAGGAAGAUGCUCUGUGAAAAAGUGUUCCCUGGUCGGAGAAAUUUGUGAAACACUUUGCAUAAUACUUAAAAGAAUGUAUGGCACAUCAAAGGUAAUAUGCAAUAAAAGAAUUCAUUUUUUUAAAA
ensembl:lncRNA LINC01905 long intergenic non-protein coding RNA 1905